UUGCACACAUACACUGCACUCUCAUAUCAUCCAAUGAUAAAAAUUCGAUAGCCGUUAAAAUUUUGCAAUAAGUUUGCGUAUUUUUUAGAAACGGAAGAAUUAUUUUUCCGUGCGGUAGUCGAGGCGGUAUAGUCAUGUUUAUUUCAGGUGCAAAAAAGCCGGUGCUUAGUUUUUUUUGCACAGUUUCCCGUUGGAUUUGUGUUAUAUGGAUUUGUUUGCACCAAUAAAAUCAGUUCCCGAGGCAGAUCCAACAGUUCGAAAUGACGCGAAUCAAUGAAACCCUGAAGCGAAACUUGAAGGAAGGUUCCAAAAUUAAAUAUUUACAGACAACUCCGUAUUUCUGGGAAAGAAUGCAG